UGGGGAAUAUUGGACAAUGGGGGGAACCCUGAUCCAGCCAUGCCGCGUGUGUGAAGAAGGCCUUAUGGUUGUAAAGCACUUUAAGCGAGGAGGAGGGUACUGGUAUUAAUACUACCAGGUACUGGACGUUACUCGCAGAAUAAGCACCGGCUAACUCUGUGCCAGCAGCCGCGGUAAUACAGAGGGUGCAAGCGUUAAUCGGAAUUACUGGGCGUAAAGCGCGCGUAGGUGGUUCGUUAAGUUGAAUGUGAAAGCCCCGGGCUCAACCUGGGAACUGCAUCCAAAACUGGCGAGCUAGAGUAGGGCAGAGGGUGGUGGAAUUUCCUGUGUAGCUGUGAAAUGCGUAGAUAUAGGAAGGAACACCAGUGGCGAAGGCGACCACCUGGGCUCAUACUGACACUGAGGUGCGAAAGCGUGGGGAGCAAACAGG
rnacentral:rRNA from 1 species